rfam:Salmo salar isolate Sally breed double haploid chromosome ssa21, whole genome shotgun sequence.
UGGCUCAGUUGGUAGAGCAUGGCGUUUACAACGCCAGGGUUGUGGGUUCGAUUCCCAC